rnacentral:lncRNA from 1 species
CAGUUGAAGGCAGCAGCGAUAAUGUUGAUGACGGAGGAGGAUUAUUUUUUAAAGCAGUAGCUAGGUUUUCUGAAAAUUCUGGAAAGAGAGACAAUGUUCUAGGUUUAGAAGCAGCUUGAUCUUGUGGAAAGAGAGACAAAGUGGCGAGUUUGGUGUCAUAGUGAUUAUAAAAUAAGGAUAUAUUUGUCUUUUUAAUAUAUCUUAUCGAUUUAUG